rnacentral:rRNA from 1 species
GUCGAACGGUAACAGGAAGCAGCUUGCUGCUUCGCUGACGAGUGGCGGACGGGUGAGUAAUGUCUGGGAAGCUGCCUGAUGGAGGGGGAUAACUACUGGAAACGGUAGCUAAUACCGCAUAAUGUCGCAAGACCAAAGAGGGGGCCUUCGGGCCUCUUGCCAUCGGAUGUGCCCAGAUGGGAUUAGCUUGUUGGUGGGGUAACGGCUCACCAAGGCGACGAUCCCUAGCUGGUCUGAGAGGAUGACCAGCCACACUGGAACUGAGACACGGUCCAGACUCCUACGGGAGGCAGCAGUGGGGAAUAUUGCACAAUGGGCGCAAGCCUGAUGCAGCCAUGCCGCGUGUAUGAAGAAGGCCUUCGGGUUGUAAAGUACUUUCAGCGGGGAGGAGGGGAGUAAAGUUAAUACCUUUGCUCAUUGACGUUACCCGCAGAAGAAGCACCGGCUAACUCCGUGCCAGCAGACGCGGUAAUACGGAGGGUGCAGGCGUUAAUCGGAAUUACUGGGCGUAAGCGCACGCAGGCGGUUUGUUAAGUCAGAUGUGAAAUCCCCGGGCUCAACCUGGGAACUGCAUCUGAUACUGGCAAGCUUGAGUCUCGUAGAGGGGGGUAGAAUUCCAAGUGUAGCGGUGAAAUGCGUAGAGAUCUGGAGGAAUACCGGUGGCGAAGGCGGCCCCCUGGACGAAGACUGACGCUCAGGUGCGACAGCGUGGGGAGCAAACAGGAUUAGAUACCCUGGUAGUCCACGCCGUAAACGAUGUCGACUUGGAGGUUGUGCCCUUGAGGCGUGGCUUCCGGAGCUAACGCGUUAAGUCGACCGCCUGGGGAGUACGGCCGCAAGGUUAAAACUCAAGUGAAUUGACGGGGGCCCGCACAAGCGGUGGAGCAUGUGGUUUAAUUCGAUGCAACGCGAAGAACCUUACCUGGUCUUGACAUCCACGGAAGUUUGCAGAGAUGAGAAUGUGCCUUCGGGAACCGUGAGACAGGUG